rnacentral:lncRNA from 1 species
GUGGUGGUGCUCCGUGGUGGCAAAAUUGCUCUUAUUGCCAUUGUGUUGAGUCUUGUGGAUAGUCGUGGUGGGGCUAUGCCUCGAUCUUCAUCACUUGGUUCAAAUCCUUGAACGUAGGGAGUUUCGUUCAUUAUGGUUUCCGAAUUUCCUGUCAUUAUAUUUUUCCCUUACCUCUAUUCAAAGAAUUAAAAAAAAAUUAGGAAUAAGAAAGUAUGAAAAAUUUACGAACGAACAAAAAAUGAAAAACUUUGAAUGCGAGAGUCUUCUUCAAGCAUUUGAAUCAAGCUCUCAAUGAAAGCACCAAUUUGUGGAUGCAAAUUUUCGCCGUCUUCUCCUUUGACGAAAAUGUACCUGCAAAAUAAUAACACCUAAGAUUAAGGCCAAAAGCCUCAUGCGCCCAUGAUGAAUUGGGAGGCUUUGGUCGAAGAUUCUCUGAUACCAAAGUUAGAAUUCUGAAAAGAAUGUGUUUAGGAGUUUAUGGGUAACAUAUGGCUUGACUUUUUAGUGGGAUAAUAUGACUAUUUAUAGGGGAGUGGCCGGCCCUAUUUGGAGAAUAGUGGCCAACCAUAUAUGGUGUAAUUGGGUGAAUAAUUGCAAGAUAUUAUGUGAAAUAAUAUCUUGCAAUUAACAUGGCUAUUAAUCUUAAAUUAAAUAGGAAAUUUGAGAGUUACCUUUUGAAUAAGGCUUUGAUGAGGAGUGAUGAGAGGAAUUUGAAUAAAUACAAUUUUAAUCACCUUUGACUCUUCCUUGAUUGAGCCGUUAUUGUCUGUU